rnacentral:rRNA from 1 species
UUGUCAUUCAUUACUGGGUUUAAGUUGUAAAAAGGUAACCGUAGGGGAACCUGCGGUUGGAUCACCUCCUUACCUUAAAGAACUGU